rnacentral:rRNA from 1 species
CCUACGGGGGGCUGCAGUGAGGAAUAUUGGUCAAUGGACGCAAGUCUGAACCAGCCAUGCCGCGUGAAGGAUGAAGGCCUUCUGGGUUGUAAACUUCUUUUAUUGGGGAAGAAAAUUAUGGUUUCUACUAUAACCGACGGUACCCAAGGAAUCAGCACCGGCUAACUCCGUGCCAGCAGCCGCGGUAAUACGGAGGGUGCAAGCGUUAUCCGGAUUCACUGGGUUUAAGGGGGGCUUAUAAGUGAGUGGUGAAAUCUCCGGGCUCAACCCGGAAACUGCCAUUGAUACUAUCAGUCUUGAAUAUCGUUGAGGUAGGCGGAAUAUAUCAUGUAGCGGUGAAAUGCAUAGAUAUGAUAUAGAACACCGAUUGCGAAGGCAGCUUACUAAACGAUUAUUGACGCUGAGGCACGAAAGCGUGGGGAUCAAACAGGAUUAGAUACCCCAGUAGUC